UGGGGGAUAUUGCACAAUGGGCGAAAGCCUGAUGCAGCGAUGCCGCGUGGGGGAUGAAGGCCUUCGGGUUGUAAACUUCUUUUGCUCUGAACAAGGCAUGCUAAUGGGUGUGUUGAGUGUAGGGGUUGAUUAGCGCCGGCUAACUACGUGCCAGCAGCCGCGGUAAUACGUAGGGCGCGAGCGUUGUCCGGAAUUAUUGGGCGUAAAGGGCUUGUAGGUGGCUGGUUGCGUCUGUCGUGAAAGCUCAUGGCUUAACUGUGGGUUUGCGGUGGGUACGGGCUGGCUUGAGUGCAGUAGGGGAGGCUGGAAUUCCUGGUGUAGCGGUGGAAUGCGCAGAUAUCAGGAGGAAUACCGGUGGCGAAGGCGGGUCUCUGGGCUGUUACUGACACUGAGGAGCGAAAGCAUGGGGAGCGAACAGG
rnacentral:rRNA from 1 species